GACGAACGCUGGCGGCGUGCUUAACACAUGCAAGUCGAACGGAAGAGGAGUGAGUUUGUGGGGUGCUCAAGAGGCGAAAAGGGGAGUAAAACGUGAGAACAAUGUGCUUGAAACUGGGAUAAAUUCAGGAAAAAGGGCGUAAAAUAGGGUAGGAGCCCCUGCUGCGCGGUGGGGGCGGGAGAGAUUCGUCGGUUGGGGAUGGGCUCGCGGCUUAUCAGCUUGUUGGUGGGGUAGUGGCUUACCAAGGCGUUGACGGGUAGCCGGCCUGAGAGGGUGACCGGCCACAUUGGGACUGAGAUACGGCCCAGACUCCUACGGGAGGCAGCAGUGGGGAAUAUUGCACAAUGGGCGGAAGCCUGAUGCAGCAACGCCGCGUGCGGGAUGACGGCCUUCGGGUUGUAAACCGCUUUCGCCUGUGACGAAGCGUAAGUGACGGUACUGGGUAAAGAAGCACCGGCUAACUACGUG
rnacentral:rRNA from 1 species